AUGAAGCUUCUCCCGCGCCUCUGCAUGGCCACCACCAGCGCCGCCGCGGGCGAAAGCGACGCCAGCAGCAACAAGCUCGCCUCGGUCGCCUCCACCUCCUCCUCCACCGUCUCAACCUCCUCCUCCGCCGCCGCGGCCGCGGUGUCCGAGGCGUCCUCCUCCACCUCCCUCCCUUCGCUCUCCGCCGCCACGUCGAAUGCCGCCUCCUUCGCCCACGUCGCCACGCUCCUCCCUCCGCCCACGGCGGCGGCCGCGGCAGCGGCUGUCGCGGUGGUGGACGCCUCCCGCGGCUUCGUCGUCGCCAGGCCGGCGUCCGUGGCCUUCCACGACCUCUGCACCCUGGAGCCGACGUCCACCUCCGACCCGGGCCACGACACCGCGACCGCCGGCUCGGUCAAGUGCGUGGCGCACGUCCACGGAGGCAAGGCCGUGACGGGCCACCAGGACGGGAGGCUGCGGCUGUGGCGGGCCUCCUCGCGCGCGCCCGCCCGGAUCCGCCUCGCCGCCGCGCUCCCCACGGUCUCCGACCGCCUGCGCCGAUUCCCGCUCCCGUCCAACCACGUCGCCGUCCGACGCCAUCACCGCCGGCUCUGGAUAGAGCACGCCGACACCGUGUCCGGCGUCGCCGCGUCCACGGACGGCCGCCUCCUCUUCUCCGUCUCCUGGGACAAGACGCUCAAGGUCUGGGCCAUCCCGUCCCUCCGCUGCCUGCAGUCGCUGCCGGCGCACGACGAUGCCGUCAACGCGGUCGCCGUCGCUCCCGACGGCACGGUGUACACCGGCUCCGCCGACAGGCGCGUUCGUGUCUGGGCGCCCAAGCCGGCGUCCGACAAGACCGCCAAACGACAGAGCAAGAAGCCGGUUUACUACCUGGUGGCCACCCUCUCCCGCCACACGGCGGCGGUGAACGCCGUGGCCGUCGGGUGCGCGGGGCAGGUGCUGUACUCCGGCGGCAACGAUCGCUGCGUCGUGGUGUGGGAGCGGGAGGACAGCGCGAGCCACAUGGUCGCGAUCGGGGCGCUGCGGGGGCACCGCAAGGCGGUGCUCUCCGUCGCGUGCGCGGGGGACGGGCUGGUUGUCAGCGGGUCGGCGGAUCACACGGUUCGGGCCUGGCGGCGCGAGACCGACGGACGGGGGCACACGUGCGUCGCCGUGAUCGACGGGCACGGCAGCGCCGUCCGUUCGGUCGCGGUGGCUCUCGUUCCGGGCAAGAAGCAACUGCAGGGAGGAGACGACGGCGAUGACGGUGGCGAGGAAUGGAGGGUGUGCAGCGCCAGCUUUGACGGCGAGGUGCGGGUCUGGUCGUUGCGGGUGACGACGGGCUUGUAG
rnacentral:rRNA from 1 species